AAUCAAUUACAUGUCGUGUUUGAUAUGGUCAAUAAAAUGAGGCGUGCUUUCUCCUGUCUCCAGCGCAUCAGAGUACGUGUAUGGUUACGCCACCGCCAAGUCUACCGAACCACAGGAUCAACACCAGCCGUCGAUCACGAUGAUAAUUAAGCAAUCCCAGCUGUCUAUCCAAUUUAUCCUCUUAUAAAUACGUUAGGGUGCCUGCUUAUCAACCAUUCAAAGUUCACGCCACCACAUAUUCUCUCUCGCCUCUCGCAACCUCAUGCGCCUCUGGAGUUCUUCUCCAGAUUCACGCUACAUGGAUUGUUUUCUAUGUCGAUUUCCAUCGGAUUCGCGUCGAUCGUGUCGAGAUCUACGCGUUGAUGGUGGUAUGAGAUUGUGAGUUGAUGGUUUGAGCUGCUUUUGAAUUCAGCUGGUUUUACCAGCUUGAGCUUCUGUGUUUGUCGAUGUUCGAUUCGGGUUUACAGAUUUCGCAGACGGAGUUCUAACCAAAUCGGAAGAGAUUACAAGUAUCCGGCGGCGUUUCAGCAGCUGAUCCAAUUCGAUCCAGUGGUGGCUGAAGCAUGUUUAAUCUUAACCAAAGGGUCAUGGUUCAUGGUUGUAAUUUCAUGAGAAUGAAGCUUUUAUAUCGUGGGAUCUGAGUUAGGGUUAUGGGUUGAAUUCGGAUGGAUGUAUAAGAUAUCGGGACGAAAGGCUCGGUGGAAGGGCCGAGUGCUGGACCGAUCUUUGUCAUCCGGCCUUUGCCAUGGCAGGUGCGCUUGCAUGGCAGGUCAAAAAAUAUCUCAAUAAAAAAAUAACGAUUUUUGGUUCGGAGGGGAGACGGCAUGGGGUUUAUUUUUGCCCAGGGUCUCCCCUCCGGUGUGUGGUGUGCGCCCUCUGUCCUUUCUUAUUGUUUUGUCUCUUAUUUUUGCUCGCCCCCAACUGCAAACAGUCGGACGUGGAUUCUGGACAACCGUGACCGCAUCGAUAUCUCGUCGCCAAAGGUAUUAAUCUAUCUAAAUCUAUUUCAAUUGAUUUUCAUCGAUCUAAUAAUGCUAAAUAAAGCCUGCCACUCGCACACAAUUGAUUGGUAAUUGAUUAAUAAUGCUUGUUGACAGUGCUUACAAUCUGUGGAGUUGUUCAAUCAACCUCAAAUUAUUCCAAAUUGUUUUCAGUCAUUGACCUUAAAGGGAGCAAAUUUAUUUAAUCUGUUGAUUGUAAGAUAUAAAUUACAUUACUUAAUCACAAAUAAAAAGUUCCAACCGAAAGAUCCAACCACGAAUCAAAACUUUGUUUGAUAUAAUACUUAUUCAUAAACGUACUUCUGUCAUUCUACUAAACAAUUCCCGAAACCCCGAUUCGUUCCUGCUUACUUUUACAAGUCAAUUCUUAUGAUAUCAAACCCUCUUCUGCUUUUUAUUGCCUCGUUAUUAAUGUUAAUGGUAGUAGAAAUUCUAUGAGCUGAGGAUGAGAUUUUCAUUUAAUCUGUUGGCCUUUGCCUUAAUAUUUGUUGAUAACGGAUGUUAUUAGAUAUUGUGAGAUCUGUUGGUUCAUGGAUCUUUGUAAUAUUAUGUAAUUAUGUUGGUUUUGGAUUCCAUUGCUGCAAGCCUUGUAUUGUAUUCCUAUUAGAUGAUUCUAGGGAGGUUCGAUGCUGGAAGGGUACUUCUCGACGAGCCCGAAUCGCCAGAACGAAGCCUCUCAUCACAAUUACAAGUUAAGCGGAACUUCGGCUCAAAUACAAGCUGCUUGGUUGUGGGAUAGAUCCAGAAGUUCUUUUCGUGACAAACUCUUUUCUGAGGAUUUGAGGCAACAGAUGAAACGAGUUGAGCUUCGCAUUCCUCCGUCUCUAAAGCUUUAAGUAUUGGCAAGUAAUGUUUUCGGUUAAUUUACGUUUUGUGAAUUAAGUCAUUGCAAUUGAUCAUUUAUUUAUUCUA